rnacentral:tRNA from 2 species
GCCCGGGUGGCGGAACGGCAGACGCAGGCGGCUUAAACCCGCCGGCCCUGUAAUGGGGCGUGGGGGUUCGAGUCCCCCCCUGGGCA